rnacentral:rRNA from 1 species
GCUUUAUAAUAAAAUAGGUUUUUAAAAAAUAAAUUAUAAAAGUAAAAUUUAUUUUUUUAUUUUAUUGGGGCGAUACGGAUAUAAAUGUUAUUAACUGUCAGAAUAAAAACCACAUAUGUGUGAAAUAUAAUAUGAUCCUAAUUAAAGAUUAAAAGAUAAAGUU